AUAGUUACCUGGUUGAUUCUGCCAGUAGUCAUAUGCUUGUCUCAAAGAUUAAGCCAUGCAUGUCUAAGUAUAAGCAACUUUGUACUGUGAAACUGCGAAUGGCUCAUUAAAUCAGUUAUAGUUUAUUUGAUGGUUUUUGCUACAUGGAUAACUGUGGUAAUUCUAGAGCUAAUACAUGCAUUCAAGCCCCGACUUCUGGAAGGGGUGUAUUUAUUAGAUAAAAAUCAACUUUGUUGGUGAAUCAUAAUAACUUCUCGGACCGCAUGGCCUCGUGCUGGCGGUGCUUCAUUCAAAUAUCUGCCCUAUCAACUGUCGAUGGUAGGAUAGAGGCCUACCAUGGUUGCAACGGGUAACGGGGAAUAAGGGUUCGAUUCCGGAGAGGGAGCCUGAGAAACGGCUACCACAUCCAAGGAAGGC
rnacentral:rRNA from 1 species